UACGAAGGGGAGUAGCGUUGUUCGGAAUUACUGGGCGUAAAGCGUACGUAGGCGGAUUUGUCAGUAGGGGGUGAAAUCCCCAGGCUCAACCUGGGAACUGCCUUCUAGACUGCAAGUCUCGAGAUCAGGAGAGGCGAGUGGAAUUCCGAGUGUAGAGGUGAAAUUCGUAGAUAUUCGGAGGAACACCAGUGGCGAAGGCGACUCGCUGGACUGAUACUGACGCUGAGGUACGAAAGCGUGGGGAGCAAACAGG
rnacentral:rRNA from 1 species